UAGUGUGAAUUGCAGAAUUCCGCGAAUCAUCGAGUCUUUGAACGCAAGUUGCGCCCGAGGCUUGCCCUCGGGCAUUUCUGUCAGAGCGUCAC
rnacentral:rRNA from 1 species